GACGAACGCUGGCGGCGUGCUUAACACAUGCAAGUCGAACGGAAAGGCCCUGCUUUUGUGGGGUGCUCGAGUGGCGAACGGGUGAGUAACACGUGAGUAACCUGCCCUUGACUUUGGGAUAACUUCAGGAAACUGGGGCUAAUACCGGAUAGGAGCUCCUGCUGCAUGGGGGGGGUUGGAAAGUUUCGGCGGUUGGGGAUGGACUCGCGGCUUAUCAGCUUGUUGGUGGGGUAGUGGCUUACCAAGGCUUUGACGGGUAGCCGGCCUGAGAGGGUGACCGGCCACAUUGGGACUGAGAUACGGCCCAGACUCCUACGGGAGGCAGCAGUCGGGAAUAUUGCACAAUGGGCGGAAGCCUGAUGCAGCAACGCCGCGUGCGGGAUGACGGCCUUCGGGUUGUAAACCGCUUUCGCCUGUGACGAAGCGUGAGUGACGGUAAUGGGUAAAGAAGCACCGGCUAACUACGUG
rnacentral:rRNA from 1 species